rnacentral:rRNA from 1 species
AGCGAACGCUGGCGGCAGGCCUAACACAUGCAAGUCGAACGAACUCUUCGGAGUUAGUGGCGGACGGGUGAGUAACACGUGGGAACGUGCCUUUAGGUUCGGAAUAACUCAGGGAAACUUGUGCUAAUACCGAAGGUGCCCUUCGGGGGAAAGAUUUAUCGCCCUUAGAGCGGCCCGCGUCUGAUUAGCUUGUUGGUGUGGUAAUGGCCCACCAAGGCGACGAUCAGUAGCUGGUCUGAGAGGAUGACCAGCCACAUUGGGACUGAGACACGGCCCAAACUCCUACGGGAGGCAGCAGUGGGGAAUCUUGCGCAAUGGGCGAAAGCCUGACGCAGCCAUGCCGCGUGGAUGAUGAAGGUCUUAGGAUUGUAAAAUCCUUUCACCGGUGAAGAUAAUGACUGUAGCCGGAGAAGAAGCCCCGGCUAACUUCGUGCCAGCAGCCGCAGUAACAC